UCGAGUUUUUGUUGGUCUUCAACAAAACUUCAUCCUAUGUUUACAUACUUGUAUACUUUGGCAAGACGCUUUGACUUGAAGUUGGAGAAUAUUCAGCCAUAAGAAAAAGCCACUGACGUCAUUUACUUGACAGUGAGUGUGUUUGCUUGCCAAAGGUCUUAACUCUUUAUACUGUUGUCUGAGUAUUACAAAAAUAAAUUA
rnacentral:misc_RNA from 1 species